GAGCUGCCCUCCACCCUCCUCCAUGUGAACUCAGUAACAACAUCCCCAGAUGUGUCACAGUGUAGCUGCAUCUCAGUGUCAGAGCCUGCUGGUGGGGUAUCCCUGUACCUCCUGACCCUGAUACAGUCACUGCUCCCUCAACACCUGGAAAUAAACACAUUAGAUUUGUGACUGUC